UACGUAGGGUGCGAGCGUUAAUCGGAAUUACUGGGCGUAAAGCGUGCGCAGGCGGUUCGUUGUGUCGGCGGUGAAAGCCCCGGGCUUAACCUGGGAAUGGCCGUUGAAACUGGCGAACUGGAGUGUGGCAGAGGGGGGUGGAAUUCCGCGUGUAGCAGUGAAAUGCGUAGAUAUCUGGAGGAACACCGGUGGCGAAGGCGGCAUCCUGGACCGGCACUGACGCUGAGGAGCGAAAGCCAGGGGAGCAAACGGG
rnacentral:rRNA from 1 species